GUGAGUGGAAUACCAGGGUACUGGCCGAUGUUUGCUAAGGACUAUUUAGAAUACAUUGGUUUGCAUAUCAGUUUCUUAGUUCAAGGUUAUAAACAAGAUCCUGUGUGUGGCAUUAAUGGUGAAUUCUUGAAUUGGGUAGAACUAUUAUCUUUAGAACAUGUUUUAUGAGUGGUUUGAGUAUAAGUGCAGUUUAGAACUGUCAAGAGCUAAAUCUGAUUGGUCUCAAGUGUAAACAAAACCUUGAAGCACUUUCUGCUUGUGAUUGAUCAUGAAACUCAAUAUUUAUUGUUAUACAAUAUUGAAUGUUCUGUGAUUCUGGGAGCCUAGCUCUUUUGUCCACAACAUUUAUGCAUGCAGAGUAGUUAUACAGUUAAACAUGCCAUCUGUCUGUGCAAGAGAAAUAAGUAGGAAAGAUCAUCAUAUGUUACAAUGGUUUAGAAUUCAGAUUGAAAAGCAUUAGUGAAAUGUGUAGGGUUUUUUUUAUCCUUUUUGAUGCAAUCCAUGAUUGAGAGCUUUGAUUGUAAGAGUAUUGAAACUUGUGAAUUUUUUUCCUGUUACAGGAUGCAAACAUAUUUUUCUUAAGAACACUUGCUACAAAGUUCAUUUUAAUAUGCCGACAAGAUCAGCCCAUGUGUGUACAUAUGUAAGAGACAAGAUCAAUAAAAAUAAUUAUUAUUGAUAAAAGAGGAAUAUUAAUUUGCAAAAACUGUAGUGUGUCAUUUUAAUGAAAUCAGAAAAUUAAAGUCUAAUUUGUUUUUGACUUGUAGCAGGUGCUCUUCCCUCACACUAUAUUUUGUGCCAACAAUAUGUUGAAUAUCUCUGCAAGAUAUACCAUGUAUGUCUAAUAAAAAAAAUAUUGGAUGCAAAAUCUGUAGCUUUUUUUCUUACUUUCUUUUUAUUAAUUUUGUAUAAUUCCCUAUUUCUUUUUUUGUUUACAUAAAGUUUUGACAUAAUUUUUUGGAGCUUUUUUUUAGAACUGAGGCCAUUUUAUACAAUAAGUUUUACUUGAACCUGGUUGUUAAUGUUAUUACUAUGUUGUAUCAUUAAAGUUAUCUCAGAUUCAC
rnacentral:misc_RNA from 1 species